UGAAGCCGCCGCGCAGCCUUAUUUGUAAUCCCUAGUGUACAUAAAUGUUCUAUUGAAUUAAUAGGUAAUUGUAUGAUUUUAAUGAAAAAACAUCAACUAACAAGUCAGCAUUUGUAAAUCUGAAGUAUCUCUGUACAUUAUUACAAUGCAAACACCCUAGGCAUGUAAAUGGAUAUUUUUUUUAUAUCUAGAAUUUCCUCUACUUAUUAAAAAGCUACUUUUGUUACAGUAGCGAACAUCAUGAAAACGAUAAACAUCAGAUGGACACAACCUCAACAUAUAAAACAAACGACAAUGUACUUGUUCUGAAAUCUGAAUUUAUUCAGAGAAAUAACUGACUAUAUACAGCACGGAUUUAAAGACAUAUAGCUUUAUUUCCAAGAUAGUAAGUCAAGCUUUAUAUAUAUAUCAUUUCAAUUAUAGAGCAAUAUUAACAACAUAAUCAUAUUAUUCAUUGUAACGUAUUCAAAUUUCUGAUACUAAUAUGUUCAUGUUUUAAUAAUUACUAAAUAAUUAUAUGAUAAUGAAAUAAACUAUAUUUAGUAUCGGAGCGUUACCUGUGUCGUCAGUGCGCAGCAGACACACAGACCUAAACAGUUUACAUUUAUAGCUUAUCCUGCCCAAAAGACUGUAAACACUGCAGGUAACAUCUGAAGUAAAAAUUAAUUUACAUACACUUAACAUAAAAACUAGUCCCUUUGCCUGAUAUGCUUCAAAUCGAGUGAUUUUAGGACAGCGGUUUGAAUGUGUCUCAUUGGUGCUCUCAGCCAGUAGGGAUAAGUAAGAUGGCGGAUCGAACACUUCCGGUGGCUUCACUGUCUGUUGGCAGUUUAGAACGCGAUGAGCGAUCCAGUCAUAUAUAUACUGUAGAUCAGAGGUAGAACCACAUUCCACUGAUAACCUAACAAUAUCACAGUCUUACAACAUCACAAAUUAUGAAAUGAAAAUGUGCCAGCAACUAUUGAAAUACUGAACUGCGAUACAUAGAUCCUUCAAACAUGAGAAGAAGUUCAUCGGGUGUUUGCAGGAGACGUUCCUAAAGUCAUAAUAUGUUUUACUAAUUAUAAAAUCUAAUUCAUCACAUACCAGGUGUUACAACUGAUUCAAAAGGGAACAAGCCCUCUAGUCCUAAAGGUAAAAACAACACACAGAAUGACAUCAGCAAUACUACAGAUAAAGCGGCUUUUCAAGUGCAUGUGGACAUCAAAAUGAUAACAGCAUUUCUGAUGGGAAUGUCAACUUCAGCAGUCAUCUUCUCUGUGGUUUUGUGCUGUCAAGGGUCCUGGAAAAGGGACAAGACAUAUGGAGUGGUAGCCACGAACACAUACACUGAAGUUGUACUGGAAUAUUUUCAAGGAAAAAGUUUAAGGAGAUACUGUAUGAAAGAGUGAGAUUAAUCAUUUGGAUUAAAUGAUUUGAAUUUAUAACUUAUAGUUUUUUUUUUUUAUUAUCAUGUUGGAUAUAGAUUUUUCUGAAAUUGUAAAAUAUAAUAUAUUAAGUCACUUCUUCACAAAUUUAGAAACUUAAUUCUGUCUGAGUUUAUCUUUGUUAUUGCUGAAUGAUUUCUCCUUGUUCAGAGAUAUUUUCUUUGACAAAUAAAACAGUGUUAAUUAA